UUUUUUUUUUUUGUGGAGAUGACAAGUCAGUUACUUUGGACCAAUGCGCACCUCUUGUUCCAAACUUUCAACCACCAAUGGGAUGGCAAAACCAUAUACCUCAGUGGUACUAGCUACCCACCUGCAGCGAAUGCCAAGUCAAAACCAAGGAAACAUGCCAUGGCCUUCGAAAGGCAAAGCUUCCAAGACGAAAGGGAAAUGAGAUGCAUGUGUCUAGUGUAUCAAGUGAAUCUGACUAAGGAAAGCGAUGAUGAUACUGUUUCCUCUUUAGAAGAUCAACGUAAAAGACAUUCUCUUGGUCGUCAAAGAAAAACAAGAAGAAGUCGUUUGCUGAAAGUUGCAUUCUUGUUUUGGAAAGGCAGAGAAGAAUUGCUGAUCAGAGAUCAGCUUCGAGUGCAUCACGAAAAGCCUCGAACCGAGUUUCUUUGGUUCGAGAAAGGGCAACACAAGAAGGUGAAGUAAGAAAAAUAACGUUGCGUUUAAAACGGUUGGAGACAAAACAAGUCGUUUUACUGCGUCAAAUAACAGACUCGGAAACGCUUUGUUUGGUUGUUACGUCAAAAUGUUUUUGAUAUUUGUUGGUUUUGCUCGUCUUACGAUUAUAGAUUUAUUAAUAUUUUUGUUUUCAGAAUUUUUUUUGUAAUUUUAUUGAGUUAUCUCUGAGAUUUAAUAUUUAUAGAUAUUGGAUUAUAGACUCCAGUAGCAAACUAAAAAUAAAUAUCUUCUCAAUGUCACCGUCCAUAUGACAAAAAUUAAAAUUAGCAAGUGCACAACUCUACUAUUAUUUAAUUAUUCAUCGUGUUUUUAUGUUUUACCGACUAGCCACAACGCGUAUAACGAUUUGAAUGGUCCACCUGAGGAAGUUUAAAUAUUUUUCUUAUGAAUAAAAGUUUGAUGCAUGAAUUAUACUUUGUGCCGUUUCUAUUUGUAAACUUUGACUAGAAUUAGCAUAAGCGCUUCUAUUUAUUUAAUUUAAAAAAUAUAAGAUAUUAUCAAAUUGCUAGUUGAGAAAUGUUAUACUUUUUCGAUAUAUAUAUAUAUAAUCAGAGAUUUGUAGUUAGACAAAACAUAUCAUUAAGAUGGAAUCAACAUAUAAACAUAGGCUCUUAGCAUGCUUUUCAAAAGAAAAAUCAUGAAGUGGAGAAAAUUUGAAAAUAUAUAAUUUUAGAAUUGAUAAUGUGUAAAACCGUUGAAGGAUACGAAUAACAAAUUCUUAUAAGCAUUUUUGUUUUCUUUGAAGUUUGCAUUUUGACCGGUUUGAAUUUUGUAUAUAACGAAGACACUAGUACAACUUACAAACUACAUUAUCUAUACUAUUAAAAGGGAAGCAUUCUUAAAAAAAUCUACUUAUGUAAGGUUGUUUGGACCUAUUAGUUAGAUUAACACCAUAUAAUUCAGCAUAUUUUUAAGCAAAAGUAAUAUUCCAUACAUCAACUCAUAAUUUCCUUAAUGUACAAAAAGAGAUAUUGUAACUAACAACAAUAUUUUACCUAUCUAUACUAUUAAAAGGGAAGCAUUCUUAAAAAAAUCUACUUAUGUAAGGUUGUUUGGACCUAUUAGUUAGACUAACACCAUAUAAUUCAGUAUAUUUUUAAGCAAAAGUAAUAUUCCAUACAUCAACUCAUAAUUUCCUUAAUGUACAAAAAGAGAUAUUGUAACUAACAACAAUAUUUUACCUAUCUAUACUAUUAAAAGGGAAGCAUUCUUAAAAAAAUCUACUUAUGUAAGGUUGUUUGGACCUAUUAGUUAGACUAACACCAUAUAAUUCAGCAUAUUUUUAAGCAAAAGUAAUAUUCCAUACAUCAACUCAUAAUUUCCUUAAUGUACAAAAAGAGAUAUUGUAACUAACAACAAUAUUUUACCUAUCUAUACUAUUAAAAGGGAAGCAUUCUUAAAAAAAUCUACUUAUGUAAGGUUGUUUGGACCUAUUAGUUAGACUAACACCAUAUAAUUCAGCCUAUUUUUAAGCCAAAGUAAUAUUCCAUACAUCAACUCAUAAUUUCCUUAAUGUACAAAAAGAGAUAUUGUAACUAACAACAAUAUUUUACCUAAAGAGUUUAUUAUUAUUUCUUAAUACAGAAAAUAACUUAAGGAAAUAGUCAUAACAAACGGAUUAAUAUUAAUGUGCAUAUUUUUAAAUAUUAAUGUCCCAUUUUAAAACUAAUUUAUUUAUAUAUGUAGUAGAAAACAAUAUUAAAUUUUGAUGAAAUUUUAUUAAAAUUUACAAUUUUUUUUUAUUUUUUAACUUGAAUUUGCGAAAAUUGGGUUUUAAUAUUGAACUAGGUCCGAUUUAACUCAAAUUCGGUUUUUAGCACAACUCAGAACCAGUUAGAAGAGCGAGUCAGGAUCCGACUGGUUCGAUUGUACGGUCCAAUCAUAUUUUCAAAACAUUGGUUAAUACAGUUCAAUAAUUAAAAUAUAUUUUUUUAUUAAUGAAUAUCUUUACUAAUAAAAACAUACAUAUCAUCUUUAAAUCUAUUUCAAACAAAUCUCACACUAUAAAAAAUAAUGAAUAAUAAAAACAUUAAAAGUCAAUAGUUAUAAUGUGAAACAAAAAAAAUUAUACUAGAUUUAAAAUUUAUUAAAGAUUAAAAACCUCAAAUCCGCGCGGAUCAAAAUCUAGUUAUAUGUUAUAAUCGAUGAUAUAUCAUGUUUUUUCAGGAAUUAAGCUACUAUUUUAAAUCUCAUUUUGUAUAUCUUAUGACAUUUUAUGUCCAAAAUUUUGGAAAUUGUUAUAGGUUAAUUGUUUCGGUCCACAAACUUCACUACUGAGUUUUUUUCAAAAAAAAAAAACUUCACUACUGAGAUAAUUUUUACAUUUUAUAACAUCUAAAUCAAAAAGAAAUAAUUUCAUACAUUACAUUUACAACUGCAUGUACAAUGUAUGGUGAUGUAUUAAAUUUAUAGUUAGAUUUUUUACCUCUUGUACAUUCAUACUCUAUAUGUUUUGUGAGCGAAGAUGAGUUUGUUAUAUUAGCACUUUUGAAAGAAAAAAUAAUAUAAAUCUUAGGGAUACUGUUUAUAUAUAGUUUGUAAUCAAGAAGCUCACCGAGCUGCAAAUCGUGUUGAGAGGUAUAUGAUAUUGUUUAAUGUCUUACCUGUACAUUGCACAAUAAAUAAUAUGUCUGUUAACGAAAAUUUUUUUUCAAUUGAAGCACCAAUUGUGCAGGUCAUACAUUGCUUUGCUUUCUUUUUGUGUUACUUGAAACAAGAUAAAAUUUUGUUUUCUGUUACAAAGGUUUAGUCUCCAGAAAAACAGAAUGGCUAUAGGAAUUCAAUCGUUUUUAACUACCUUUUCGAUUUAUUAUAUAAUUAGUAAAUCACACAGAUAAGAAAAAAAAAACAGAACAAUACAAACUAAAAAAAGGACAUAGGUUUAGGAAGGGGUUAGAGAACAUUUUCCCUUAUAUAAGACAGAUUCAACAUUUGGUUUCCUUUGGCUCUCUCUUUGAGAAAGUUCCAUAAGUCCCACAGCCAACAAGUCGCUCUUGAAUUGAAUCUCAAACCCUAAUCUGCCCUGCACGAUUCUGAUGUUAUUCUAUAUUAAUUCUUCAGCUGUAAGGCUUUGAAUAAGUCUGUAAAUAAUCAUAUUUUAUUUUGAAAAGUUCAACAGAAACCCCCAAAAAAUAUAGUUUUUGUUACAUUAUAAAGUUGGAGUUGCCGGCAAGUUAUGACAGCCGGAGGCUGUUUGGACAUCCAAACAAUGUUGUUCGGUCGUAAAUCAUCGAGCAAGUUACAGGUAAAAUUGCUCUUGUUUUCGUGAAUGAUUUUAUGCUAAAUUUCUCUUGACUGAUUUUGAUUAUUCAUAUGCACAAAGUCCUUUCAUGUAUUCAGGAAAUCAUAUAAAUGAUAUAUAGAAAAGUCUUGGAUUAAUAAGUUUUUGUCUCUUGACUUAUUAUGUGUACCAGAUUUUUAUAAGCAUUCGUCUUGUCCAUGUUAGAUCAUCAGAUUGUAUCUUUUUGUUACAUGAUGAUGAAUAAUAAAGGAACUAAUUAACAGUUUUUCAUAAUAACAAUUUUCAGCCAAUAAAAAGCCAAGCGUCACCUAAAGUUAGCAAGGUUAAGAAGCAGGAUGAUAAAUCUUCUUCUUCUUCUUCUUCACCUAAACCUUCUUCUUCACCAAAACCUUCAUCACCUAUACCGAUUAGAUCAUCUAAGACAAUAUUAUCCGGGAGCCAACUAUCAUCAUCAUCGAGACGUGUUUCUUCGCCUAUGGGCAUCCUAAAGAAUGUUUCCAUUAGAGAAGCUAAGAGCCCAAAGACAACCAGCUCGCCUAAAUGGACAGGAAACUUUAUUCUUAUGGUCGAGCUUCGCAGAAAGAUCGUUACCUUUAGAGACAUCAUUGACCUUGCUCCUCUCGAGGGUUCUCCUUCAAUAACCGAUGUGAGUACACCACAAAGUUAGUUAUCCUUUUUAUUAAUAGUGUAUAUUUUUUGUACUCACAUCCUUUUUUGUUGUUGGAUAGAUGGUGAUGCAUACAAUGAAAGAUCUCCAAAAUCUUUGUCCUGAGAUUAUCCACAGCUCACAUAUAUCUGAAAUUAGACGCGCAAAUGUUGAUAAGGUAUUCAAAACAUGAGCUGAAUAUAUGACUUCCUCUGGUCCUUAGUUCAAAUAACUUGAGUCUGAUCAAUUGUUUAUCCCAUAGGUUCUUGACCAUUUCUUCAAUGCUUUGAAAUCCAUUGGAGAUUCAUGGAUCGAUAACCCAGAAUGGAUAGCUAAGUCUAAGUAUUGGAGUAGCAGCGUUGGAAAGAAUCAGUCCGAUCGACUAGGUAACAAUAAACGUUACUUUCACAAGAAAAUCAUUUCAAGACUUGAAAUUUCAAACUCUUUAAAAUGUUAUGUUUCCUUUGUAGUGGAAAAGGUGUUAGCAGCAUUAGAUGGACUGAUCAAGAUGUCUAAAGAGAGAUUUGAUAUGAUGGAGAUUGAUGAAGUGGAAGAGAAGAAAGAGUUGGUUAGUCCAAGGACUGCCAAAACAUCGAGCAGUCGAGUUUUAUCUCCAUCUGAUUCAUUCUCCGACAGCAGAAGCUCGUUUUGCGGCUCACCAAUCACGCCAAGAUCGGUCCUUCCAGAACCAAUGAUGAUGGGUUCGCCUGGUAAAGUUGGAGACUUUGCAAACUCUGCAUCACAUCUUCUGUGGAAUAUGAGAGUUCAAGCACUUGAGAAGCUCAGUCCUAUCGAUGUUAAGCGGCUCGCUAUUCACAUUUUGUCACAGAAAGAAGCUCAGGAACCAAACCAAAGCAAUGGAGAAGAAGUGAUUAAUGUUGUUGAAGAGAACAAGCAGAAGACGAAUGAGAUUGAUGUGAAGAUGGAGACAGAAGAAUCUGUUGUUCUAGAUGAGCAAGAAGAUACAUUCAUGAAAGUCUCUCCACUGGAUUCAACAUCUGAAUCCAAACUCAAUGCUUCAGUGAAAUCUGAAGUUGCACCAGCAUCUUUGUCACCACCACCACCUCCUCCUCCUCCUCCUCUAUCCACUACAAAAUCUGUAUAUUUAGCUUCUCAACCGCCACCUCCUCCUCCUCCGUCACCACCGCUGAUUACAAAGGCUAAUGUGGUGGCCAUAUCAUCAAUCCCACCUCCUCCGCCACUGCCACCAUCUCCACCUUCCAUUAUGCCUUUACAAGGCUCUAUUCCACCACCACCACCGCCUCCUCCUCCAGCAGCUGUGGCGGCCCCACAACCGCCGCCUUCACCUCCAAGAACCACAGUGGCGCCACCACUGCCUCCCCCACCUCAAGGGACUGCAGCUGCACCACCACCACCUCCUCCUCCUCCUCCACCGAUGCAAAACAUAGUACCACCACCUCCACCAAUGCCUAUAUCGAAUAGAGCCGGUGGUGGACCACCGCCUCCACCACCACCUCCUAUGGCAAAGGGAGCCUCACCUCCUCCGCCACCGCCUCCUAUGGCAAAGGGAGCCUCACCUCCUCCGCCACCACCUCGAAUGGCAAACGGAGCAGCACCGCCUCCUCCACCACCUCGAAUGGGUGUGGCAAACGGAGCAGCUGGUCCACCGCCACCUCCAGGAGCAGCAAGAAGCUUGCGACCCAAGAAAGCAGCUACUAAACUAAAAAGGUCCACCCAGUUAGGGAACCUAUACAGAAUCCUUAAAGGGAAAGUCGAAGGUCGUGAUCCCGAGGCAAAGAAAGGUGGCGGAAGCGGAAGAAAAGCCGGAGUCGGAAGCGCACCAGCCGGUGGAAAGCAAGGAAUGGCUGAUGCUCUUGCUGAGAUCACAAAGAAGUCUGCAUAUUUUCAGCAGAUUCAAGAAGAUGUUGCUAAAUACAUGAAAUCAAUCAACGAGCUGAAGGUUGAGAUCACUAAGUUCCAGACUAAAGACAUGACUGAGCUUCUUAGCUUCCACCGCCGUGUCGAAUCAGUUCUUGAAAAUCUUACAGAUGAGACACAGGUCAGUAACAUUUCAAACAUCUUAUUGCCAUCACUUCUAUGUCCACUGUUUUUGUGAUUCUUGAUUCUGAAAAUGUUUUGAAACUAUUAGGUUCUUGCGCGAUGCGAAGGGUUUCCACAGAAGAAACUUGAAGCAAUAAGAAUGGCUGUUGCAUUGUACUCGAAGCUGCACGGAGUGAUCACCGAGCUACAGAACUGGAAGAUAGAACCUCCUUUGGUUCAGCUUCUUGAUAAAGUAGAACGUUACUUCACAAAGGUAACUAGUUUACUUAAUUUCAUACCGUUUUAACAACAUCAUGUAACUAAAAUAUCCAAAAUAAAAAGAUCAAAGGAGACAUCGACACGCUGGACCGAACCAAAGAUGAAGAAGCUAAGAAAUUCAAGAGCCACAACAUCCACUUUGACUUCAACAUACUUCUUCAGAUCAAGGAGACAAUGGUUGAUAUCUCAUCAAACUGCAUGGAACUCGCAUUGAAGGUAAUUAAACAGCUAAAAAAUAUAACCUUUUAUUUUUAAGUAUUUUUAAAACCAAAGUUCUUAUCUGAUCAACCUAAAAUUCACAGGAAAAGAGAGAUGAAAAGCUUGUGUCACCUGAUGCAAAGCCUAGCAUUAAGAAGACAGUAGGAUGUGCUAAAAUGCUGUGGAGGUCAUUUCAGUUUGCAUUCAAAGUCUACACAUUUGCUGGAGGACACGACGAUCGAGCUGAUUCUUUAACCAGAGAGUUGGCUCAUGAGAUCCAAACUGAUACUCAGAAUCCUUGAUGUAUCCAUCGUUUCGAAUCAUGACUACUACUCCUUUUUGCCUUUCUAAACACCUAAAAAUAUUCCAAAAUGUUUGAUAUGGAAUGAUAAAAAAAAAGUAUAUGUAUAAUAUUUAACCUAUUGUUUUGGCUUUGAGUUUGUAAUUUUGAAGCCCACCCAAAAAGACUAGGAUUUAGAGGUUUCAUGGGAGCUCAGAGGUGCAGAGUUUUUUUAGUGAAAACCUAUAAAAACCUUUUGAGUCAAGGAAGACCAUUGUGUUGCCAGAAUAUGUAAUAUGGUUUUGUUGUUAUAAACUUUUUCUUUCUUUAAUUCUAGUUGUAAGGUACAAGUCGAAAUGGUGAUGACAAAACCUGGCAAAAGAAAUGAUAUAUAUUAACAGAAUUUAGCGAAAAGUUGAUGAUAGCGAGGCUAAAAAUAGGAAUCACAACCUACUUGUAGCUUUUAAAUAUGAUGAAGAUAUCAUCUUAGAUUACAAUAUUUAUCUCAUUACUCUAAGUUGGUAUGCGAAUAGAAUGGGAUUGGCUGAAGCCAGCAUGCUCUAAUACUGAGCACUGCAGUUGCAUUUGGAUAUCUGACCUUAUGUGUUGCUUUGUGAUAAGCAAAACAAAAAAGACGGGUUUAACCCUAAAAUUUGCCAUAAAUAACUAGAAGAAACAAACUUCGGAUCUACAAAUAACACAUAACACAUUGCUUGUUUUGUAGGGCUCCUCAAAAGUGGCAGAUAGAACAGCAAAUUUGUAUGUUCACAUCAUGCAGAUAUAUUUGUUCUUUUGUCUAUAUCUCUCUCUCUUGUGCGAAAAUUUACUUUGCAUGUUCUUGUUUUACUAAUGUAAAAAUGUUGUGACAAAAAAAAAACUAACGUAAAAAUGAAGAGUUACAGAAGAUACAAGAAUCAGACAUGAGUUUUUGAAUGAUGCUUCCUUCUUCAAUCCUAAAACUCUUACUCUCUCUGUUCCAAAGAUGAACAGAUAAGCUAUGUUUACGUAAAUGCAUAAGUCUCUUACGUGACCAAUUUGCCUCCCUCCCAUUCACGGACGCUCUGUAAAAUCCACUGAUCCUAGUCCAGUCCACCGGAUAAAACGAAGACGGUGGAAGAACAGAGAAUCCCAUAUCCGACGAACAGUUAGAAACGUUGAAUCUUGCAACCACUCUUGACACUAAGUAUGGACCGUUGUGACCCCAUUUGUUACCGUUGAAGGUUCUUGAGAACUCGUCGAUGAAGCUUUUAAGCAAAGGAUGGUUCUUGUCGAAGAUGAGCACCGCGUUGUUGAGCCUGCUCCAUUUCCUUGUAACCGGAUCAACCGUUUGUGCUCCGAUUACGUUGUGGAGACUGGUGAGAGGUUUGAGUAUUAUAACAUCUGUGUCUAAGUAGAUCCCUCCGAACUUGUAGAGCAAGACUAGUCUUAGAAUGUUAGAGAGGUUUUGCUCUAGUGGAAUCACUCCUGGACUGAACAUUCCUCUCUUCAGUCUUUCAAACCAUUUCUCUGCUGACGUGUCUUUGAAAAUGUAAGUGAAGUCUGGUUUGAUCGCGAGCACUUUAAGCCCUUUAUCUGUAAAGGGUUUCAAGAUGAGUGUUCCUCUCUCACAGUCAAGUGAGUUUGAGACCAAGAUCAGACAGCUAUUUGGGUGAGACUUGAAGAGACUCUCUAUAGUGAAACGUUCUCUUUCACCAAAAGAUUCGAUGGAGGAGAUCCAGAUCAUGAAGAACAGGGACUUGCAUGAGGAUUCGGACAAGAAUGACUUGAUCCUCGUCUUGAAUUUCUGUCUUGAUUUGCCUUGUGGCUUCUGUGUCAUCUCGGGUGUUAACCCGUUUCUUCUCUUCCGUCUCCUUGUCCUUCUCUCUGUCUUUAUUGGCGAAACUUUCUGCUUUUGUACGAACCCUGAAGAGGUUUCUUUCACCGCAAGCAACAUUGAAGAAUCUGACUUAGAUGAUGAUGUUAAAGUUGACCUUGACGAUGUUGAUGAUGAUGAUAAUGAUGGAUGAUGAUGAAGAACCUGGUGGUGGUUAUAAUUGAGUGAAAGAGUGGAUUUGGGUGGGAUUGGAUCAAGAUGAAGGGAGAAGGCAGAGAAGCUGUUGUAGAUUAAGAGAAGCAUGAGAAGAAGACCUAGAAGAGACAAUGGAAGACAACAAACCAAAGAAACUGUCAAAUUUUUCAACAUCUGCAAUAAAUCAACUUGUUCUGUUCUUCUGCUCUCCUCCAUCUUUUGUUCUCUCCAAACAAAUAUUUUAAAGACAGAGACUUGGUGUAAAAGAUUUCUUCAAGGAUAAAAGGGUGUUGUUGGUCUGUCUUAUGUGAUGAUGAUACAUGUUUGCUGAAUAUAUUAAACAAUUUUUUUUUUUUAACUUUCUUGGCAUACCGAAUAUACAUGUAUGAUGUAUCAUUCAUAAUAGGUGAAAGGGAUGAGUACUAAACUAUUAUUUAAAGAAGGGAAAUCUCCUAAAUAACUCAUUUUUAAUUUUUGUUCUAAAAAACCAACUAAAGUCAAAGUGACUAAAAUAGUGUGAAUCACAAGAGCCUUAUUGAAGAAGAAAGAGUUUUGACUGCAACACUUUUAUUCCUUUCAACUUGAUUAUAAAGAUACAACUCUAACUCUAUUUAUAUGCCAAGCGCAACCUCAAAACCCUAAUGAACCUCUACACGUGUUUGGAGGACAUUGAAUCUAUUCUUUGUUGCAAGGUGGUGAGCUGUACGCGGUGCCAAAGUGGUCCUGCUCGUCGUACGGUUUGGCUCUGCAAUAUGAACGUUGAGAGGUUGAGCUAAAGCAGGCUUUGUCUUCAUCUUUGACUGGUCUCCGAAACUCAUAUCAUUGGGCUUGGGCUUUGUUGUUGUCUUGGGCUCAGCCUGACUAAUACACCCCCUCAAACUUGGGGUCGGAGGAACAGAGACACCAAGUUUGUCCCGCAAACGGAAAAACGCUUCCUGACCAAGCGAUUUUGUGAAGACAUCGGCCAGUUGCAGAGAAGCGGGUAUGUGCUUAACUUCCAGCGUCUUGAGAGCCACUCUCUCACGCACAUAAUGAUAGUCGACAUCAAAAUGUUUGGACCGUUUGUGGAACAUGGGAUUUGCAGUGAGACACACGGCAGAAAGAUUAUCACACAGAAGAAGUGGCAUGCGCUGUUGUUGCAGACCCAUCACUCGAAGCAAAUUUUGCAACCAGACAAUCUCAGAAGCAGCAAGGGACAUGGUCCUGUACUCAGCCUCAGUAGAAGAUUUAGAAACUGUUUCAUGCCUCUUAGCAGACCAAGAAAUGACAUUGGAACCUAAUAGAGUGCAAAAGCCACCAGUUGAUCUUCUAGUUUCAGUGCAACCUGCCCAAUCACUGUCGCUGUAGCAGACAAGUGUGGAGUCUGAGGUAGCAUUGAUGCCAAUUCCCAUGUUCAGAGUUCCUUUAACAUAGCGAAGGAUUCUUUUGAGUAACAUGAAGUCGGAGCCAGUAGGUGAGUGCAUUCUUUGACAGAUAUAAUUGACAGAGAAUUGUAGAUCCGGUCUAGUGAGUGUUAAGUACUGCAGUUUACCUGCAAUGCUCCUGAAGUAAGAAGGAUCAGAGAAAAGUUCAUCUUGACCGGGAACAGUGGCCAGUUUUAAAGGCAAAGGAGUGGGCAUCGGAGCGCAAUCUUUCAUUCCUGCAUUGAUUAAGACAUCAGAAGCAUACUUCUCUUGAUUGAGAAAGAGACCAUUCGGAGUUUGAUGAACUUGAAUCCCAAGGAAGUAGUGUACAGAGCCCAUAUCUUUCAUGCGAAACACUUGACUGAGCUGAGCAACAAGAUGAUCCAGAAGCGUAUUGUUGUUGCCAGUAAGAAUCAUAUCGUCCACGUAGAGGAGAAGAUAGAUAACAUCUGAGCCAUGAUGAUAGAUGAAUAAGGAAGGGUCAGGGAAACUGCAGAUGAAUCCGAAGUCAAGCAAAAAAUUGCUAAACUUAUCAAACCAAGCACGUGGAGCUUGUUUUAAACCGUAGAUCGCCUUCUUGAGCUUCCAGACGUAGUCAGGUUUGUUGGGGUCGACAAAACCAGGCGGUUGUUUCAGAAACACAAUCUCCUUUAAAUCUCCAUGCAAGAAGGCGUUCUGAACAUCAAGUUGUUUCAGGGACCAUUUCUUUGUAACUGCCACAUGAAGAACAGUCCUAAUUGUUGCUGUACGAACAACUGGACUAAAUGUUUCUAUGAAAUCGAGGCCCUCCUCUUGCUCAUUGCCUUUUGCUACAAGUCUCGCUCUCGGUUUGAACACAGUACCAUCAGCGUGGUAUUUUGUUUUGUAAAUCCACUGACUUCCGAGGGGGUUCUGACCAUCUGCAGGUGGCACAAGCUCAAAUGUUUCUGUCUCAACCAUAUUAUCAAUCUCAGUUCCCAUUGCACCGUUCCAGCCAGGAUGACGCAAAGCAGCUUUGAGAGACUUGGGCUCUGCAUAAUCUUCUUUGAGCUUACUAAACGGUUAAAUGAAGAUUCUAUUUUUAUUUAUAAAUUUAAUUGGUUAAUUAUUAAAAUAUAUAUAAGUGUAUAUUAUAAUUGGAGACAUUCUCCAGACAAUUAUAAUACACACUUCUCAACUACUUGGGAUCAGGUCAGAAACAAAGCGGGAAGAAGUUCCUUGGAGUAGCAGUAUAUGAUUUGUGCAGGGUGUUCCUCGGUACUCUUUCAUUUCUUGGCUCGCUGUAAAAAAUAGACUCUCCACAUCUGAUAGAAUAAGGCUUUGGGGUAUACAGCAAGAGUGUAUCUUAUGCAGUGAGAAGGAUGAACGAGGGAUCACUUGUUCUUAGCUUGUCCUUAUGCCUAUACGGUAUGGAAUAGAAUGGCAGGAGGGCUCAUAGGGUCAAGGAUUAAACCCGGACUGGCAAGAUACUAUGAACUUUCUUCAGACAGGAGCAUCAACCAGGAUGGACAGGUUUCAUAAGAAUGGUAUUUCAAACUACAGUUUAUCAUGUUUGGAGGGAGAAAAAUGCACGCAGACAUCAAAAAGGUAUUCAAGGGACUGCUCAGCUUAUUCGAGUGAUUGAUAAAGCAAUCAGGAAUAGAGUUCUAGCACAGUAGCACUAGAUAUAAACCUAGCCUCCUCACAAACUGGAGGGCCCCUUGCUACGCUGGUUCGAAGUGUUUGACACUUAAGGCAUACGUCUUCAUCUUUCAGUUGAACAAGAUUGAUUAGUUCAUAAGCAUUUCUUUCCUUCUUUUGUAAAAGGCCCAUAGUUUUAUCGAUAAAUUUCAAAUUUUCAUUAAAAUUCUUUUUUUAUAUGAUAUAUAAUUUAAUUUAAACAAUAAUUAUAUAUAUUUUUAAUUUGAAUAUUUAUUAAAUGAAUAUUUAUAUUCAUAUUGUGUUAUAAUCAUUUAUAUAUUUAUAAUAAAAAUUUAACUAUUAAACACAAAAUUUUAAUGUGGAACUUUUAAUAAUUUUAGUAUAAUUUAAUAAUUUUCAAAUAUUCAAAGUAUGAUAAUAUAAAACUAAAAAAUGGUAGAUGAUAAAUAAAUUGUUUCCAAAUCUUUAUUAAUCAAUAUAAUUAAUUGUCAUAUAUAUUUUAAAUCAUAUUAAGUAAUUCUAUAACUUUUAUUUGAAGAAAGAAAGAAGAAAUUUUUUUUGAUUUAUUACUAAUUAAUUUUAUAGUUAAUCUAAUGAAAAAUAUAGUUUUUGUUUAGAUUUUAGAUCAAAUAAUGAAUGACAUGUAUUGUAAUUAUUUUAUUAAUUAAAACAUAUUUCUAUAGUAACUCUAAAAAUUGUUCUAAUGUUGACACAUUACCAUAGCAUAAAUGUUACAAUGCUUUUUAAAUAAUAUAUAAAGGAUGUCGUUCUUCUCCUCCCCAUUUACACCAGACAACACUGAGAAAAGCUUAAAUCAAACGUCAUUUUCUCCUUUAAAAGCCUUCUAAGUUCUUGUUUCUUUCAAAUAAUAAACAUCUUUUCUUAUCGUUUCAUUUUCACAAUUGAAAUGGAAUCCAUCACAAUGAUCCCUGAAACAUUCAAUGAAAAUGCAACCCAAAACAACCCUUUGAAAACGUUAUUUUCUCUUUUAAAAAGCCUUUUAAGUUCUUGUUUCUUUCUGAUAUCAAACAUCUUUUCUUAUCAUUUCAUUUUCACACAUGAAAUGGAAUCCAUCAAAACGCUCCCUCAAACAUUCGAUGAAGAUGCAACCAAAAACAACCCAUUGAUGAUCUUUGAUUCAGCUGACUUAAAUAAUAAAUCAGACAAGAUACCUCAAGAGUUUGUAUGGCCCGACCAUGAUAAACCCUCUACAAACGUUCCGAUCCUCCAAGUCCCUCUCAUCGACCUUGCUGGUUUUCUCUCUGGCAACCCAUUUUUGGUCUCGGAGGCUACAAGACUAGUGGCGGAAGCGGCAAAGCAACAUGGUUUCUUCCUAGUCAUCAACCAUGGAAUCGAUGAGAAGCUCUUGUCUGGUGCAUGUACACUAAUGGACAAAUUCUUCAAGUCACCGAGUUGUGAGAAACAUAAGGCUCAGAGAAAGUGGGGCGAAAGCUCGGGUUAUGCUAGUAGCUUUGUUGGAAGAUUCAAAAAAAAUCUCCCAUGGAAGGAAACGCUGUCGUUUGCAUUCUCCCCAGGGGAGAAGAGUGAGAACCACUCCCAAGAUGUUAAAGAGUUCAUCGUUAAGAAGAUGGGUGACGAAUACAAAGAUUUUGGGUAUAUGAGACUCUUUUUCGGUCUCGAUUGAUUAUUUGCUUUACUUUUUCAUUUUCGUUUAUAUGUUAUGUAGUAAAUAUCGUACGUAAAUCUUGUUCCAUGCAUAUAUGCAGGAUUGUUUAUCAAGAAUACGCGGAGGCCAUGAGCGAUCUUUCACUAAAGAUCAUGGAGCUUCUUGGAAUGAGUCUUGGCAUCAAUAGGAGCCAUUUCAAAGAGUUUUUCGAAGACAAUGAGUCGAUAUUUAGAUUGAAUUACUAUCCACAGUGCAAGCAACCUAAUGUUGUACUAGGGUCAGGACCGCACUGCGAUCCAACAUCUCUAACCAUACUUCAACAAGACCAAGUCAACGGUCUUCAAGCUUUCGUGGACAACCAAUGGCAAGCAAUACUUCCUAACCCUCAAGCACUGGUGGUAAACAUUGGCGACACUUUCAUGGUAACGUUUCCUUUUCUUCUAAUAUCAAUGAAUGAAAGAGCAAAUAUACUUUUGAAAUAAAAUCCGCAAAUUUAAACACUUGUUUUCUAAAAGUAUUUUAGGAGGUUUAAUCAAUGCAUAAAGUUAAAGCUAUAGGUUUUCGGAUAUAUCUAUAUAUAUCAUCAUAUCUGGAACUUCUCGAUGUUUUUAUCUUUUAAUCUUGUUUUUCUGUGUAUUUAGACAAAAUAUUUCAUAGAAACUUCUGAAUAGUUUGAGAAUUUUUUUUUUGAGAAACGAAUAGUUUGCGAAAUGGUGACUAUUAAUAUUACAAGAAACUGAAACAAGUUUUGUAUGGGAGCUUUGAUCAAUGCAUGAAGGAGAAGUGUUUUUAACAUGUAUAUAUAUAUAAAUUGGAGACUUUAAUUUCCCUAAAUUUUAUUUAGUAUAUGAUUUCCAAUAAAACUCUCAGAGAAGCUAUAAAUAGUUUGAGAACUGAGACUACUGAAUAAUACAAGAAUUUAACAAUUUUGCACUUUCCUGUUUUUCGGGAUUUUUUUUAAUUAUAGGCUCUAACCAACGGAAUAUACAAGAGUUGCUUGCAUCGAGCCUUAGUGAAUAGCAAAACCGAAAGAAAGACACUUGCAUUCUUCCUUUCUCCAAAAAUGGACAAAGUGGUGAGGCCACCAGCGGAAUUAGGAGGUGAAAGAGCAUAUCCAGAUUUUACAUGGUCUAUGCUUCAUGAGUUUGUAAUGAAACAUUAUAGAGCAGAUGAAAGCACGCUUGAUGAGUUCACAAAAUGGCAUACGAACAGAGGAAGUUUCUGACAAAAAAAAUUAUAGUGUGCUGUCGCUAGUGCAAUGCUGAGGGGUUUUGGAGCAAAAUAUUAGUUUAUUAAAGAACUAUAAUUUAGUUAUAAUGAUAUGUUAUAUUAUAUAUUGAAAAUACAUUAAUAUCAAAUAUAAAAUGGUAAAACAAAAUAUUUAAAUUUAAUUAAAAUAUGAUAAAUGAAACUGUAAAUAAAUUUAUAUAAUAGAUGAAAAUAUGAAUAUAUAAAAUGAGUUAAAUUCUUUUGAUAAUUUAUACAUGAAAAAAAUCAAUAGAAAGACAAAAACAGUUAAAUACAUAAAGUAUGAUAAUUGAUACAUUUACAAUAAAUAAAACAAAUAGAAAAUGAAAUAAAUUAUCUUAAAGAGAUUCUUUUUGUACAUCUAACAAAACGAUGAAGUUAAAUGCAUUUUCUUUAACUAAGUACACCAAAUAACAAAGGAAAUGAAACCCCAAAAAUUAGUAUUUUAGAAGGGGCCUGAAGUCUGUUGCCUUUUUUUCCAUGCCUAUGGCACGGCUCUGGCUGUCGCAUAUGCAGUAUUUAAGUUUCAUAAAUGGUUUUUCUUAAAUACUAUUUUUGAAGCUUUUCUUUUUCAUUAUCUUUCUUUAUGUUGUUGGAUUUAAUUAGGACUUAGGAGCCAUAUAUGAUAUAUGCAUAGCCUCGCUUCUAAUUAAUUGCAUACAUUUCACUUUUAAAAGAAAAAUGUGGACGUGUUCUUUUUUUUUUAAAGGCUUUCUAAUUAAAAUUAAAAGUACAGUUACAAGCUAUGAUCCAUGGAUCAUAUAUACAGUGAAACAAAGUUUAAUAAAGAUAGCAACAUGAAGCACUUAAGCCAACAACAAGCAUGAAGAUAGAAGGAAGACCACAAGGUCUAAAUGUGGACAUGUUCUUUUUUUUUUUUUUAAACACGUACUUGAUUAAUAUUAAAGAGUUAGUUGGGGGCAUUAAACUCCUCCCUAACAGACACAGGCUCAUACAAAUUUAAAGCGCUUUUAGCUAAUCUAUCGGCUUCUACAUUCCUCUCACGAGGAAUCCAAGCAAAAGAGCUAGUCUCAAAUUCAACAGCCAAGUUUCGAAUAUCUGAAAUUACGCUAAUCAGCUCUGCAAUGGUCACUCCGGUCGUGAGGCUUUGGAUGAGUUGAGCCGAGUCCGACUCGAACCUAAGGUUCCGUAGUUCCAAGCGUUGACAAGAGAGGACCGCUUCCCGGAGAGCGAGCCCCUCAGCCAUUAGAGGCGACGCAGUGUGCUCCAUUUGGAGUUGGAACGAAAUGCUCUGUGGAGCAGUGAGGAUAUUCCAUCCAAGACCCGCAGACAUCCGCGUCGCACACCAGGGAGCAUCUGAGCGCACCACCGUUACUCCACUUGAAGCUGGGAUACUCCUCGCCUGAUCUCUUUUACCGGCAGAAACCUCUGGUUUGCCAUUGAUGCUCCACUCUCGGGCCAAAGUUAUGGCCGAGGAAAGGGUGUCCUCAGGGGAAGCUGAGAAACCUUCAAACACUAGUUUAUUUCAGACUUUCCAGAUGGCCCAUAAUAUCCAAGGGAACAGGGUUCCAGAGGUGAUCCCGGCAGGUGGGAGCGUUUUUUGUUUACAUAUUGCAGGCCAGACAGCCAUCAAAUCUAUCAUUCCUCUAUAAUCCAUUUCCGAGAUAAAAGGCGCAAGUUGCCAUAUUUUUAAAGCAAAUGGACAAUGGAAGAGGAGAUGAAUGAUAGAUUCAUUGCAUCCGCAUCUUUUGCACUUUGGAUCCACUUCGAUGUGUCGUUCGAGCAGGCGUUCUCCCACAGGUAUGGCUCCUUUAAGUACUUUCCAUGAAAAUAGCUUAAUCUUUGGGGUACAGUCUAGGUUCCAGAUGUUUUGUUUCCAGUUGAAGGCUUCAUCUGAUGCCCUGGCGUCAGCCUCUAACUCCACUGCAGUGUAGUAUCCAGAUUUAACAGAGUAAUCCCCGGACUUUGUGCCUAACCAUAUCAGCGAGUCCUGAACUCCGGUGAGACUGGGUUUGAUACAGAGUAUCUUUGCCUCAUAAGCAGGUAGGAGAAGUCGGAUUUUUGUACGAUCCCAAUUUAUGCGAUCCGGUAGCAUCAAGUCUGCAACUGUUAGAGAUAUGCUCUGCUCGGUAGGCGGUCCCAUCGGGCGUUCUUGUUUAGAUAGACAGAGCCAGGGGUCUUGCCAUACAUGAAUAGACUGGCCAUCUCCAACGACCCAUCCAAUAUUUUUUAACAGGAGGUCACGUCCUAUCAACACACUACGCCAGCCGUGUGACGGUGUUGACGUUUCUAUGGCCUGGAAAAUGGUAGUCUCAGGGUAGUACUUUCCUUUCAGAAUUUUUCCCAGCAGGCAGGUCGGGUUCUUGAACAGCCUCCACCCUAUUUUGGCCAACAUCGCGUCAUUGAAGCUCUGGAAAUCUCGCAUACCAAGUCCACCAAUUCCUUUUGGUCUUGCGAUUGUGUCCCAAGAGACCCAAGCCAUCUUCUUGGUAUUUUCAUUAUUAUCCCACCAAAAGCGCGUGACAACAUAUUGGAUUCGAUUACACAAUGACACCGGUAGCUUGAAACAUGACAUCGAGUAAGACGGGAUAUGAGAGAGGACGCUUUGCAGCAUAACCAUCUUGCCAGCCGAGGAAAGGAACUUCGUCGACCAGCCUCGGGCUUUCUGUUUGAUGCGUUCCACGAUGGUUGAAAAGAGAUCCCUCUUUCGUCGUCCAAAGAGCUCCGGGAGUCCCAGGUACUUACCAACUCCGCCUUCUUUAUGUAUUUGGAUAACAUCCUUGAUCGAAUUCUUUAGGGCCAUCGGCGUGAAUCGAGAGAAGGUUACUGUCGACUUCUCGGGGUUGAUUGCCUGUCCCGAGGCCUCCUCGUAUGUUCUUAAGAUCUCUGUCAGUGCCCGGCCGUUGCUUUCACUAGCGUUGAUGAAGAACAUAGUGUCGUCCGCAAAUAGUAAGUGGUUAACUCAGGGGCAACCUCUCGCAACCUUGAUCCCUUGGAUUGCUCCUUCCUCAUGUGCUCUGUUACAUAAUCCCGAGAGAACUUCACUAUACAUUAUAAAUAUGUAGGGAGAGAGGGGAUCGCCUUGACGAAUUCCUCUACUCGGUACUAUCUUCCCUUUAGGCAAGCCGUUAAUGUGGACAUGUUCUGUUUUAUAAAAAAGAAACAAAAUGAAUUUUCUGAAUGACUAGGAUGUACUAGAUUUUUUGGCUCGUAUAUCCUCUGGAAAGAAUUUAAUAUCUUUCGGAAUGUAAUAAUAUCUUUUGGAAUGUAAACAAAAUGGAUUUAAUAUCUUUUGGAAUGUAAAAGAUAUUAUUACAUUCACACCAUUUUGUUUCUUUUCGCUACGAUGAAAGAUAUUAAAUCCAAUUUGGUUACCAGUCACACCAUUUUGUUUCUUUUCGCUACGAUGAAAUAAUUUUGAAAAAGUAACUUCUCUUAUUUUGAUUAUGUUCGUUUCGAUGUUCAUGUAACCUGCGAUCGCGACCUUAAAUAAAAUAUUGUUCUUUUGUUUGUUGAAAGAACAAUUGUUUUUUAAGUUGUUUAAAUUGUCAGCAAAAUGAAAUUUUGAGUAUGAUUGGUCAACGAAGACCAAUUGGCUGAAUUUAUCCAUGCAUAUAUAUAUGUUGAGAAUCGACGCCUUCGAUUGACUUUAAACUCAAUCAUAGAACACACUUCGAUUUAGUCCGGUACAUGUAUUAAAAUCGGUACAUCGGUUAGGACCUGUCGGUCCCUAAGUUUCGAUAGAAGACGUUGGAAAACACCUUCAUGACCCUAAAAUACAUACGUAAUAGUAAAGCCAUGUUCGUUUCGUUAUCGCCGAUUCCAGCGGCAGCGUUCAAAAAUAUAAGGCAACAGAGACAAAAAAAAACAGAAUCAAAGGUAAAAGCAAUCGCUCAUCAACUGCCAGAGACACUAGAAAACGAGACGCAGUGACGCUGAAAUUUUCCGCGUCGUUUAGUUCAUUGUUAACUGCCGCAGCGUCUGGAAAACAAGUCAUUAAUGCGUCACCGGUGCUGUACGAUGCCAUGAUGAAAGGCUUAAUUAUCUGACGCUGACGCUGCGUCCAGCGUUGAUAAAACGAACAGGCCUUAAGUCGGUGCUGAAGUUUAAUUGCCUCUUUACUUUGUAACCUUCUUCUUUAAAUAGGAUGUUUACCAAUCUUCUAGUGGAUUGUACUUUUCAAUGCACUUCCAAAGAGUUUGAAAUUUUGUGAACCAGAGAGUGUUACACAAGAACAAUUGAGGUGCUAGAGUCCGUUAUGAGACUGUGAUGUGGCAUCUAUCCAUUGGUGGAAGAAGAUUUGCUUUGCUGACAACUAACAAGAUUUGGUGUUAUCACAACAAAUUGGAGUCGGCUAUAUAUAACGCUCUAGAGAAGGCUCAAGUAUCAGUCUAAUAACUGGUUCAGGAUCCGGUUUAGAGAAAACCGGGAGAGUGUGACGUGUGGAAGUAGCGCUCUGGAUUCUUUGAGUCAUCAUAGCUCAAAGUGGACAAAAAACAAUAUUUUGUAACGUAUCAAAGAAUUUCCUCUUCGAUAUUUUUACUUAGAGAGAGAGAGAGAGAGAUCUUCUCUUUCAAGUUCUAGAGCUUUCUCCGCCGAUUUCAUCUCCUUUAGCCAUGGUAAUUAAAAAAAAAAACUAUUUUCAGUCUUUCUUGCCUUCAUAUUUCACGUCUCUCUGGAUUCUCUGCUAAUUUUGGAUUGUGGUAUGGCUUUUACGUUGUCUAGGAAAAUCGAUGGAAACAAAAGAAAACUGAAAUGCAUGCUAUAUGUUAGAUUUUGUAAUUGUUUAAAAUUAAUAAGAAAUUAGCAGUAGUUUCAAGUAAGUGGUUAAAACCAAAUAGAUUUAUGUAAAACUUGCAUGUGAAAUUCCAACUUUAAAGUUUGUUCAUGAUGAUCUUGAUAGCGUGAAAAUCAAGAAUUUUAGCUUUAAAAGUCAUUGGAGGAGGUGCUAGUGUGAGUUGGUUGAAUGUUGUUAAACUGAUCACAAAGAAGAAUUUUUUGUUUUCAUUGAUUUUAUUUUUUAAGUUAGUUUGUAUUUGUAGUAAGGUUGGAAUAGCAUGUGGUGAAGAUGUUGUUUAGCAGUUUGACUUCCCUGGAUCCAUAGGAAAAAGGAUAAUUAGGCCUUCUCUUAAUGUAAAAACUGAGACUUUGAAGUUAUUCUCAAACGUUGUUCUAUCAUUAGAUCAUAUAUCCUUUUAUGAUUUGCAAUAUCUCACAAUCUUUAAGCUUUCUUGUGUUUUAUUUGUUCACAUAGGAGUUACCCCCAAAAGUGAAGAACAUUCUGCUUCUUGAUUCUGAAGGAAAGCGCAUAGCCGCUAAGUACUACUCUGGCGACUGGCCAACAAAUACGGCUAAAGAAGCAUUCGAAAAAGCUGUCUUCUCAAAGACUCAAAAAACAAACGCUCGCACCGAAGGUAAGUAUUUUUUUUAUAUGAUAUAUGCAUAGCCUCGCUUCUAAUUAAUUGCAUACAUUUCACUUUUAAAAGAAAAAUGUGGACGUGUUCUUUUUUUUUUAAAGGCUUUCUAAUUAAAAUUAAAAGUACAGUUACAAGCUAUGAUCCAUGGAUCAUAUAUACAGUGAAACAAAGUUUAAUAAAGAUAGCAACAUGAAGCACUUAAGCCAACAACAAGCAUGAAGAUAGAAGGAAGACCACAAGGUCUAAAUGUGGACAUGUUCUUUUUUUUUUUUUUAAACACGUACUUGAUUAAUAUUAAAGAGUUAGUUGGGGGCAUUAAACUCCUCCCUAACAGACACAGGCUCAUACAAAUUUAAAGCGCUUUUAGCUAAUCUAUCGGCUUCUACAUUCCUCUCACGAGGAAUCCAAGCAAAAGAGCUAGUCUCAAAUUCAACAGCCAAGUUUCGAAUAUCUGAAAUUACGCUAAUCAGCUCUGCAAUGGUCACUCCGGUCGUGAGGCUUUGGAUGAGUUGAGCCGAGUCCGACUCGAACCUAAGGUUCCGUAGUUCCAAGCGUUGACAAGAGAGGACCGCUUCCCGGAGAGCGAGCCCCUCAGCCAUUAGAGGCGACGCAGUGUGCUCCAUUUGGAGUUGGAACGAAAUGCUCUGUGGAGCAGUGAGGAUAUUCCAUCCAAGACCCGCAGACAUCCGCGUCGCACACCAGGGAGCAUCUGAGCGCACCACCGUUACUCCACUUGAAGCUGGGAUACUCCUCGCCUGAUCUCUUUUACCGGCAGAAACCUCUGGUUUGCCAUUGAUGCUCCACUCUCGGGCCAAAGUUAUGGCCGAGGAAAGGGUGUCCUCAGGGGAAGCUGAGAAACCUUCAAACACUAGUUUAUUUCAGACUUUCCAGAUGGCCCAUAAUAUCCAAGGGAACAGGGUUCCAGAGGUGAUCCCGGCAGGUGGGAGCGUUUUUUGUUUACAUAUUGCAGGCCAGACAGCCAUCAAAUCUAUCAUUCCUCUAUAAUCCAUUUCCGAGAUAAAAGGCGCAAGUUGCCAUAUUUUUAAAGCAAAUGGACAAUGGAAGAGGAGAUGAAUGAUAGAUUCAUUGCAUCCGCAUCUUUUGCACUUUGGAUCCACUUCGAUGUGUCGUUCGAGCAGGCGUUCUCCCACAGGUAUGGCUCCUUUAAGUACUUUCCAUGAAAAUAGCUUAAUCUUUGGGGUACAGUCUAGGUUCCAGAUGUUUUGUUUCCAGUUGAAGGCUUCAUCUGAUGCCCUGGCGUCAGCCUCUAACUCCACUGCAGUGUAGUAUCCAGAUUUAACAGAGUAAUCCCCGGACUUUGUGCCUAACCAUAUCAGCGAGUCCUGAACUCCGGUGAGACUGGGUUUGAUACAGAGUAUCUUUGCCUCAUAAGCAGGUAGGAGAAGUCGGAUUUUUGUACGAUCCCAAUUUAUGCGAUCCGGUAGCAUCAAGUCUGCAACUGUUAGAGAUAUGCUCUGCUCGGUAGGCGGUCCCAUCGGGCGUUCUUGUUUAGAUAGACAGAGCCAGGGGUCUUGCCAUACAUGAAUAGACUGGCCAUCUCCAACGACCCAUCCAAUAUUUUUUAACAGGAGGUCACGUCCUAUCAACACACUACGCCAGCCGUGUGACGGUGUUGACGUUUCUAUGGCCUGGAAAAUGGUAGUCUCAGGGUAGUACUUUCCUUUCAGAAUUUUUCCCAGCAGGCAGGUCGGGUUCUUGAACAGCCUCCACCCUAUUUUGGCCAACAUCGCGUCAUUGAAGCUCUGGAAAUCUCGCAUACCAAGUCCACCAAUUCCUUUUGGUCUUGCGAUUGUGUCCCAAGAGACCCAAGCCAUCUUCUUGGUAUUUUCAUUAUUAUCCCACCAAAAGCGCGUGACAACAUAUUGGAUUCGAUUACACAAUGACACCGGUAGCUUGAAACAUGACAUCGAGUAAGACGGGAUAUGAGAGAGGACGCUUUGCAGCAUAACCAUCUUGCCAGCCGAGGAAAGGAACUUCGUCGACCAGCCUCGGGCUUUCUGUUUGAUGCGUUCCACGAUGGUUGAAAAGAGAUCCCUCUUUCGUCGUCCAAAGAGCUCCGGGAGUCCCAGGUACUUACCAACUCCGCCUUCUUUAUGUAUUUGGAUAACAUCCUUGAUCGAAUUCUUUAGGGCCAUCGGCGUGAAUCGAGAGAAGGUUACUGUCGACUUCUCGGGGUUGAUUGCCUGUCCCGAGGCCUCCUCGUAUGUUCUUAAGAUCUCUGUCAGUGCCCGGCCGUUGCUUUCACUAGCGUUGAUGAAGAACAUAGUGUCGUCCGCAAAUAGUAAGUGGUUAACUCAGGGGCAACCUCUCGCAACCUUGAUCCCUUGGAUUGCUCCUUCCUCAUGUGCUCUGUUACAUAAUCCCGAGAGAACUUCACUAUACAUUAUAAAUAUGUAGGGAGAGAGGGGAUCGCCUUGACGAAUUCCUCUACUCGGUACUAUCUUCCCUUUAGGCAAGCCGUUAAUGUGGACAUGUUCUGUUUUAUAAAAAAGAAACAAAAUGAAUUUUCUGAAUGACUAGGAUGUACUAGAUUUUUUGGCUCGUAUAUCCUCUGGAAAGAAUUUAAUAUCUUUCGGAAUGUAAUAAUAUCUUUUGGAAUGUAAACAAAAUGGAUUUAAUAUCUUUUGGAAUGUAAAAGAUAUUAUUACAUUCACACCAUUUUGUUUCUUUUCGCUACGAUGAAAGAUAUUAAAUCCAAUUUGGUUACCAGUCACACCAUUUUGUUUCUUUUCGCUACGAUGAAAUAAUUUUGAAAAAGUAACUUCUCUUAUUUUGAUUAUGUUCGUUUCGAUGUUCAUGUAACCUGCGAUCGCGACCUUAAAUAAAAUAUUGUUCUUUUGUUUGUUGAAAGAACAAUUGUUUUUUAAGUUGUUUAAAUUGUCAGCAAAAUGAAAUUUUGAGUAUGAUUGGUCAACGAAGACCAAUUGGCUGAAUUUAUCCAUGCAUAUAUAUAUGUUGAGAAUCGACGCCUUCGAUUGACUUUAAACUCAAUCAUAGAACACACUUCGAUUUAGUCCGGUACAUGUAUUAAAAUCGGUACAUCGGUUAGGACCUGUCGGUCCCUAAGUUUCGAUAGAAGACGUUGGAAAACACCUUCAUGACCCUAAAAUACAUACGUAAUAGUAAAGCCAUGUUCGUUUCGUUAUCGCCGAUUCCAGCGGCAGCGUUCAAAAAUAUAAGGCAACAGAGACAAAAAAAAACAGAAUCAAAGGUAAAAGCAAUCGCUCAUCAACUGCCAGAGACACUAGAAAACGAGACGCAGUGACGCUGAAAUUUUCCGCGUCGUUUAGUUCAUUGUUAACUGCCGCAGCGUCUGGAAAACAAGUCAUUAAUGCGUCACCGGUGCUGUACGAUGCCAUGAUGAAAGGCUUAAUUAUCUGACGCUGACGCUGCGUCCAGCGUUGAUAAAACGAACAGGCCUUAAGUCGGUGCUGAAGUUUAAUUGCCUCUUUACUUUGUAACCUUCUUCUUUAAAUAGGAUGUUUACCAAUCUUCUAGUGGAUUGUACUUUUCAAUGCACUUCCAAAGAGUUUGAAAUUUUGUGAACCAGAGAGUGUUACACAAGAACAAUUGAGGUGCUAGAGUCCGUUAUGAGACUGUGAUGUGGCAUCUAUCCAUUGGUGGAAGAAGAUUUGCUUUGCUGACAACUAACAAGAUUUGGUGUUAUCACAACAAAUUGGAGUCGGCUAUAUAUAACGCUCUAGAGAAGGCUCAAGUAUCAGUCUAAUAACUGGUUCAGGAUCCGGUUUAGAGAAAACCGGGAGAGUGUGACGUGUGGAAGUAGCGCUCUGGAUUCUUUGAGUCAUCAUAGCUCAAAGUGGACAAAAAACAAUAUUUUGUAACGUAUCAAAGAAUUUCCUCUUCGAUAUUUUUACUUAGAGAGAGAGAGAGAGAGAUCUUCUCUUUCAAGUUCUAGAGCUUUCUCCGCCGAUUUCAUCUCCUUUAGCCAUGGUAAUUAAAAAAAAAAACUAUUUUCAGUCUUUCUUGCCUUCAUAUUUCACGUCUCUCUGGAUUCUCUGCUAAUUUUGGAUUGUGGUAUGGCUUUUACGUUGUCUAGGAAAAUCGAUGGAAACAAAAGAAAACUGAAAUGCAUGCUAUAUGUUAGAUUUUGUAAUUGUUUAAAAUUAAUAAGAAAUUAGCAGUAGUUUCAAGUAAGUGGUUAAAACCAAAUAGAUUUAUGUAAAACUUGCAUGUGAAAUUCCAACUUUAAAGUUUGUUCAUGAUGAUCUUGAUAGCGUGAAAAUCAAGAAUUUUAGCUUUAAAAGUCAUUGGAGGAGGUGCUAGUGUGAGUUGGUUGAAUGUUGUUAAACUGAUCACAAAGAAGAAUUUUUUGUUUUCAUUGAUUUUAUUUUUUAAGUUAGUUUGUAUUUGUAGUAAGGUUGGAAUAGCAUGUGGUGAAGAUGUUGUUUAGCAGUUUGACUUCCCUGGAUCCAUAGGAAAAAGGAUAAUUAGGCCUUCUCUUAAUGUAAAAACUGAGACUUUGAAGUUAUUCUCAAACGUUGUUCUAUCAUUAGAUCAUAUAUCCUUUUAUGAUUUGCAAUAUCUCACAAUCUUUAAGCUUUCUUGUGUUUUAUUUGUUCACAUAGGAGUUACCCCCAAAAGUGAAGAACAUUCUGCUUCUUGAUUCUGAAGGAAAGCGCAUAGCCGCUAAGUACUACUCUGGCGACUGGCCAACAAAUACGGCUAAAGAAGCAUUCGAAAAAGCUGUCUUCUCAAAGACUCAAAAAACAAACGCUCGCACCGAAGGUAAGUAUUUUUUUUAUCCUAGUGAAUUAUGUUUUGUAGUAUAAUCAUUUGUCUUGAUUGCUAGUUCUUGAUACGCAGUUGAAGUGACGGCACUGGAGAACAACAUCAUUGUGUACAAAUUUGUGCAAGAUCUUCAUUUCUUUGUUACGGGAGGUGAAGAAGAAAACGAGCUUAUCUUAGCCAGUGUGCUUCAGGGUCUCUUCGAUGCAGUGAAUCUCCUCCUCAGGUCUUGCCUUAUCAUAGCUACAGUUCUCAUAUUACCUCAAGUUUUUAGACUUUCUUUUCUUUCUAAACAUUAAAUUACAGAGGCAAUGCUGAUAAGAGAGAGGCAUUGGACAAUCUUGAUCUCAUCUUUCUAUGCUUUGACGAAAUCAUCGAUGGCGGGUCUGUAAAUGUUCUCCUCCUUUCAACAUUUCGUUAGAUAAAUAAAUCGUUUCCUAGGCUACUUACUUGUAUACUCUGAAGUACUACUACUCUUAUUAUAUCUGUUCAGUAUUGUCCUGGAGACGGAUGCAAAUGUGAUAGCAGAAAAGGCAGGAAUCAAUAGCAUUGACCCUAACGCUCCUCUAUCCGAGCAGGUGUUUUCUUGUUCUAAAUGUGAUAUUUUUUCUUGUUAGAAAUGUAACUAUCUCAAGUAACAAAUAACUAAUGAACUUGUUACAUAUCUGUGUGUGUGUGUGUUGUUUUGGUUUGGCUUCAGACGAUAAGUCAGGCACUGGCGACGGCAAGAGAGCAUUUGACAAGGUCACUUAUGAAAUGAUGUGCGUGUAUUGCUUAUUUGCUUUCUAGCUAAUGUUGGUUGGUUGGUUGUUAUCUAAGUAUGAACUGAAUGAAGACUAUAACUGUGUGUCAGUUUGUUUGUCUCUGUUGGUUGACUCUUAGUCACAAUUACGAGUAAGAUAAUAAAAAUCAAAGUUUAUAUUUGUUUCUUUUUCAUGUUUAUACAAAAGUAAAUUACAAAACAUAGAUCAAGUACAAAAUAACUCACGCACAUCAUUAAUUUUAAGCAUUUACUUAAAAUGAUCAUCAAAUACUGUCACCAAUUUUUUUUGUUUGUCAUCAAUUCAACUAAUAUUUUGCGAAACAAACUGGUAACUUAUAAACUACGGUAACUUAUAUUAUGAACACCGGUUGAAUCUGAACAUUGCGUAUCAGGCUAUCCGUCUGUGUACUCGAUAUUAUGGACGACGGUCGAAUUUGAACAUUGCGUAUCAGGCUAUUCGUCUUUGUAUUAUGUGUUCGAGUCUCCCUUGUAUUUUGCGUUAUUGAUACAUGUAUCAAUUCUGUGUGAUUAAAAUUCUUUUUUUAGUCUCUGAAAAUUUCUCAAGUAUGUCUCUAAAAUUCAUUCUUUUGGUUCUGAAAUGAUUUUCACUAUUUGAGAACAAUCAGUUGUAGAAAUUACAUGGAAUUUAUGAAAGUUGUUCAUGCAUUACAUUGCUCAAAUAAAGGCUUCUAAUUCCAAAUGAAUGAGUGAAAGGAUGGCUCUCGUGUUUAUUGUCCCAUUAAUCCAUCAAAACCUUCUAAAGUGCUAUAUCACCUUCUCCCGCGUAAUUAUCAUUUUCUUUCAAUGAUUCAUUUGUGAAGCACCAGGUAUCUGGGGUAAAGUUGCCGACUGCACCUCUCUAUCUUGAGUGACACAUUGUGUUAUUGUUUUGUAAAGUAUUGAUUCUGCCUCUACCAAUUGAAGAGUAUUUCUUAGAUCGACGUCGAUGUUAAUGAAGACCUUAUUGCUUAGCCCUUUCCAAAUAUACCAUAAAAGCAAUGGAAACUAAUGAUUAUCCCGUGAAGGUGGAAUCCUCCAGUACAAGUAAAUCAUAUUUGCAUAAACCAUUUGUAAAAAGAAGAUGUCUGGAUUCGAUUGGAUCCUUGAGAUAGCUUAUGUUUGGACUACUGAUGGACAUUCAAAGAAAACAUGAUUUAUUGAUUCCUCUUUUGCUCCACUGCAUGUACACCGAGUGUCGCUUUAUAUAUUUUUAACCCACAUAUAUUUUUUUUUACCGAAAGACAUCUUAAUACUAAUUGCCAUAAAAUGCUUGAUCUUUGGUAGGCAUUGUAUUUUCCAAAGGAAAAACUUUUAAUGGAAUGCUUUUGAACAUUCACCAAUUACUUAUUAAUGACAUUUUAUUAUUUUUAAUUGUGUACUUAAAUUUUUUUUAUUAAAAACUACUCCUUCUGUUCCCAAAAGUAGGAUUUUCUAGAGUUAUUUUUUGUUCCAAAAUAAUAGAUUUUUCUAGAAUUUUAAAGUACUUUUAGUAGUUAAUGUUGAUAAAUUGUAUAUUUUAAAAAACAUUAAUUGAAAAUAUUUAAAUUGAUUAAAUUUUAUUGGUUGAUAGUUAUUGGAAAAUGUAUAGUGAAAUAAACAAUAAAUUCAAUUGUAAACAUUUAUUAUUUUUUUAAUAUACGUGAAUACUUUAUAAAUUUUUUUUUUCAGGAACAGAGAAAGUAGUUAUAAAAAACAUUUUUUGGUGUAAAGUUAUAAAAAAAAACAUGUUGCAACUGAAUAUUUUUACCCAAUUUUUUUCUUUAGUAAAGAAACCAGUUACAUACAACGCUGAUGAGCUGAGAAUCUUUAGAUGGUGGCAAUUUGCAAUAUUUUUACAAUACAAUCCACUAAUCGUUUAUGUUAUUUAAGAAAAAAUAAAUCAACGAAAUUAUAAUUUAAAAAAAAAAACAAGAGAAGGUUACGCAAAAAUGUCGACAUACUUGGCGUGUGCCUACAACAUUCUAGAGAAUUGAUUACCAAAUGUCUCCCUUCUCUUAAAAAGUCGACUCUAAACCCGUUGCCCAAACUGCAUCAGGAUGUCGACAUUACUUGUUCCUUUCUCCAACUUAUAUUUUAUUUCUGUAACCAACCUAUCGAGAUUCUCGUACUUACCCUCCCACUCAUUCAUGUUGUUGGAUGUUUCCGGGAUAUCCUCUUACGCAAAUCUCUCCACUUUUUUUUUCAUGAUCCCAACGAGAUCUUCUUCUUAGUCACCCAAUGUUCGUCAAUCUCUGAUUUGAUCCCAUCCUUUGCAAUUUGUGAUAUUGAAUUGAAAAAAAGCUGAUUCUGGGUUUUAUUGUUUAGGUUCUUUGGAACUUGUUCCCUCUCUCAGGUAUUUCAUCGAACACCUUGUCAACAAUCUCCAGUGAAAGAAUGAUUCAUACUUUUUUUUCCUUCUUAAUUUAAAGUCUUUGCAUCUAAUGUGAAGGUCUUCGCAAUCUCACAUUGAGUUUAAGAAUUUUACACGAACUUACCUGUUUAAAGAUUCAUUCUUUUGUUCUGUUCUGUUUUAUCUGCUUAAAGAUUCGUAGUUUUCUUCUGUUAUGUUUGGUUCUAUUCUGUUCUGUUUCAUCUGUUUAAAGAUUCUUACUUUUGUUCUGUUCUGUUUUAUAAGAUUCAUACUUUUCUUCUGUUAUGUUUGGUUCUAUUCUGUUCUGUUUUAUCUGUUUAAAGAUUCUUACUUUUGUUCUGUUCUGUACUAAAAAAACAGCAACAGAGUCCAUUUUGCAGAUAGUUCCGGACACAAUGGCUGCUUCAUCAUCAACCAUCCUCUGCAAUGCCUCCGAGUCAGACCCUUGUCGUGACGACUCCGCAGCGUUUCUACUGAAGCUAGUAGCCAUUGCAUCCAUCCUCUUAUCCGGUGCAGCAGGUGUAUCUGUACCACUCAUUGGCAGGAACCGCCGGUUCCUUCAAACCGACGGCAGCCUCUUUGUAACCGCUAAAGCCUUUGCAGCAGGUGUGAUCCUCGCCACUGGGUUUGUUCACAUGUUAGCCGGAGGCACAGAGGCUUUGAAGAACCCGUGCUUGCCGGAGUUCCCUUGGUCUAAGUUUCCUUUCCCGGGGUUCUUUGCUAUGGUUGCUGCUUUGAUCACUCUGCUUGUGGAUUUCAUGGGGACUCAGUACUAUGAGAGGAAGCAAGAGAGGGAAGCUGAUGAUGAUCAGUUGCAGGGUAUUGUUGUUCCCUUGGUUGGUGAAGGAGGAUGUAACGAUGAGAAAGUGUUUGGAGAAGAAGACAAUGGUGGAAUUCACAUUGUUGGCAUUCAUGCUCAUGCUGCUCACCAUAGACAUAGUCACCCUCAUGGUCAUGGUUCGUGUGAUGGACACAGUAAAAUCGACAUUGGUCAUGGACAUGGACACGUGCAUGGGGGUUUGGAGCUUGGAAGUGGUGCAAGGCAUGUUGUUGUUUCUCAGGUACAAACUCUUUCUUGAUUCUUGUACAGCUUUAAAAUGUCCAAAAAUGAAUCUUUAUAUGAUUUGGUUAGGUUUUGGAGCUUGGGAUCGUGUCACACUCCAUUAUCAUCGGCAUAUCACUUGGAGUAUCUCAGUCUCCAUGCACAAUCCGGCCACUCAUCGCAGCACUAUCCUUCCACCAAUUCUUUGAAGGGUUUGCGCUCGGUGGAUGCAUCUCCCAAGCGCAGUUCAGGAACAAGUCAGCGACCAUAAUGGCAUGCUUUUUCGCCCUCACGACGCCUAUAGGGAUAGGGAUUGGAACUGCAGUGGCGUCGUCUUUCAACUCUCACAGCGUUGGAGCGUUGGUCACGGAAGGUGUAUUGGAUUCGCUGUCGGCAGGGAUACUUGUGUACAUGGCUUUGGUGGAUCUUAUAGCUGCUGAUUUCUUGAGUAAGAGGAUGAGUUGUAACUUUAGGCUUCAGAUUGUUUCUUAUUUGAUGUUGUUCCUUGGAGCUGGACUCAUGUCUUCUCUUGCUAUUUGGGCUUAGAUUGUGAGAUUCUUUCUUUUGUUAUAGCUGCUACAAACAAUGUGUAUAGUUCUAGAAUAAUCAAAUCUCGGAUGAGUUAUUCUUUCUUCUGUUGCCUGGAUGUUUUUGUUCUACAGUUUCCUUAUAAAAUAGAGGAAUUGGAAUUAAGUAUGCGAAAAAAAUAUAUUAAAAAAGUAUCUCCAAUGUUCAAAGACAAUGUUUUGAGAUUAUAAAAAUAAAAAAAAUAAAUAAAAGGGAGAUAAGGUUAGAUUUUCAUCAAAGGUGCACCACUCAUAGUCCUCAAAGAAACUGUACUUCCAGUGUUCAAAGAUAACGUUUAGAUUCUCAUCAAAAGUUCUUCAGAAAUUGCAUUACCAUAAGUUUGAAACAGUUAUCCAUUGAUCUAACCAAAAGAUGGUCCAAACCAAGAACAAUUACAACAGACAACAAUAUAGAUUAUACUAAAGUAACAACAAACUCAACCCAAAAUGUAAAGACAUGAAUGAUUAUGAAACCAUCAAAAGCAGCAUGUUAAUGGAGCUUUUGUCUUAAACAAUGUCAUCUUCUCUGUGGGUCUCAAUGGUAACAUCAGAAGUAGGAUAAGCCGCACAGGUGAGAACAAACCCUGCAGCAAUCUGGUCAUCAUCGAGGAAACUCUGGUCAGACUGGUCAACAAAACCAGACACAACUUUACCUGCACAGCUCGAGCAAGAACCGGCACGGCAAGAGUAAGGCAAGUCGAUCCCGGCUUCCUCAGCAGCGUCGAGGACGUAAACGUCGUCGUCGCACUCAACCUCUUGCUCUCCUUCGGGAGUGAUGAACUUGACCUUGUAUGUAGCCAUGGCUGUGACGCGUCCACCACGUGCGGUUCCUGACUUGAGGCCGAAGAGGGUCUGAGUGUUGGCUAAGGGGAGGGAACGGAGGCUGAUGGGAGAUGUUUGACGGCGGAGGAAGGAUGUUCCGACGAUGACGCUUGAGAUAGCUGUGGAGGCCAUUUCUUUUCUUUAGAGGAUUUGAGAAGGUUUCUUGGGUUCUCUGUGGGUUAUGGCUUGUGGAAAUGGCAUGGAGAGAUUAAAAGGUGAGACUGUGGUGGAAUCCUAUCUUCCACGUGGCGUUUAUCUUGUGGGUUGGUGGCUUAUCAUCUUCAUGUUCUGGUGAAUUGUGAUUUGUUUCCUUUUUGUGUGUGAUUGUGUUUGACACACUUUACACUAUCUUGUUGAUGUGAGCUGUACGUGGUGUUAUUUGGGACAACUCACACUAGAUUAGACGGACCAAACUGAAAUUGUUGGUACAGGUCCGGUUAUAAAUUCUGAAGCGAACAGCAGAUUUUAAGAUAUUCAUUUAUCCAAAAGUUUAAACCAAAAAAAAAAAAAAAUUCAGUUCAAUACACCAAUUUGUUUUUUUUAACCGUAACAAACCAAAAAUCUAUUCGGUUCAGUCGGCAUAAAUUUUUUUUGGGGUGGGGGAUUUUCCGCCUACCUCUUUACAGAGAUGAACGCUUUACCAAAAAAAACGGGGAGAAAAAGCUCUCCGUAGCAAAAAAAAGAAAAGAGGAUUUCAAUAAGAAAAUAAAUUGGAUUCUCAAAUCACUACACAAUUUGUCUUCCUCCCUCCACUCAUUCCACAUUUUCCCUUGUUUUGUAAUAAUCUAAACCCGUAAGAAGCUUCUUUCUAACAGACUUAACUGCCACCAACCAACAUUCUUCUCUCCCGCGUUUGCUUUACGCUCUUGCUUCACUAACUCUCUCGCUCUCUCUCUCUCUCUUUCUAAUCGCACUUGAUGUUUCUGUAGAUCCUCCUUACAAACAGAUUCGAUCCUAAGAACCCAACAGCUCCUGCACAUUCAAUUACCAACGUAUUUUCAGACCAAACCAAAUGCCAGUUUUGAAAGUGAGAACGAGAGAGUGAAAAGAUAACUAACCGCAAAGGAUUCCGAGGCCAAGACAGAACAUCAAGGUGUAUCCGAAGUAGAAACUGGUCUGGAAAAACCCAAACAUCUUUGUCUUUACGUAGUAGUAAUAGAUCGAGUAUAAGUAGACAUAAACCGCAGUCGAAGCAGCUGAGAAGAACGACGUCCAUUGCCAGUGAUAGUUUUCCGCAUUUAGCAAGAAGUAUGUUCCCACGAUCGUCACACAGACCGUCACCACAACAAGAAUCAAAAAGACAAGCAGCAUGAAUCCGUACACGUAGUAUACCUGCCACGAAAUGUACGGUGAGUUUUGCUCUUUCUAACUGAAGUUGUAAGCUGUGUAAGAGAUCUUUUUACCUUGUAAUUCCAGAAGGAUGUGAAGACAAAGUACAUUUCGAUGAAGAUGCUGCCGAAGGGUAAGAGACCUCCCAUAAGAGAGACUACUGAUGGAGUCAAGUACCACUUCUUCUCAGGGAUUGGACGUGGGAUUGUCUUCACACGGCAUGGGUUGUUUGGGGCACCACUCCAGUUUCUACCAACGACUGUCCCAAGGAGGGCGAGAGGGAAUGAAAUGAAGCCCCAAAUAACGAACACAACCACCAUCGUUCCAAAGGGAAUAGCGGCAAGAGAACCGUAGAAUAUAGCGAUUGUGUUUAGGAUGAAUCCAAUCCCAAAGCACAAGAAUGGGAAGAGCGAAGCCGUGAGGAUUAUGCACUUGAUCCAAUGUUUACCUGAGCAAAAGAAGUAUCAAGAGAAUUUGAGAAUGAGUCGAAGGAAGGUGUGUUAUUGGAGAGCUUGCUUGCUGUUUUCAACAAAGAUGGAAACAACAUACCCCCACUUCUUGAGUACAUUCCACCGCUCACAUAACCAGAGAUAAAUGACGUCAGAGCGUAGCAAACUAUGAAAGUUGUGACGAUCGCUCCUCUCCUGAACAAGGUUAAACCAGAAUGAUUUUCAGACAAAAGCUAAUCACUUACUCCGUGAGAAAUAACAACAUGAGAAGUUGAUUGAAAGUAGGAGUGUAAUACAUACCCAACAUAAAGUGUCCCAAUGAUUGCCAUUAGUAUGACAAGAAGAACAAGCAAAGCCAACUGUGCACCCGUACCAACAACAGCUGAGAGAAGAACCAGACCACGUGGUGGUCGGAACACAUCUCCGUGCACGAGUUUCCAUCCAGAUUCCUCAUUUACAUCCCGUUCCUGUUAUCAAUGCAUACCAGCUGUCAGAAGUUGCUCCACACUCUUGCACUAACGAUGAAGACAAAAUUGACAACAUCGUAGUAACACUAAGAGAACUUCUGCAGAUAUUAUUCUAGAUAAUAGAUUGAGGAAAAUCACCAGGCUCUCAAGGUCGUCGUCUUCUCGAGCAUAUUUAGCAUAAUCAUUUCUGAGAGUCCUCAUUAAUAUCAUUGAGACCAAACCAGUGAGGAAGAUAACCAUCAUGAACGAGUUAAAGAUGGAGAACCAAUGGAUCUGCAUCAUUAAUGAAUCCAUUAACGGAGCAUUAAGUGUAAUAGGUAUCUAAUUAUGAAGCGAAUGAAAUAAUGUCUGAUAGCAGAAGGAUGAAAACAGUAAGACAUAACAUGCUAUGAUUUACCUGGUGUUCGAAGAAAGGAUAGUCUAGAUAAACAUCAAAACGACGAGCAAAUGUGAUGUCGGUUGGGAUCCAAUUCACAGAAUAUGUCAAAUCAACCGUCCUCCCUGCUUCUAACGGCAUUGGGUUGUCUUGUGUGAGAUUCACAUGAAUAAUCUAUGCAAAUAAAAAAAAGUCAGAUCACAGAAAAGUAAAUAUGAGAUCCUUAAUAAUCUGCUUAAUCACAAAGAAACAACCAACCUGGUCUUUGUUGUAUUUGACAUUAAUACUCUUAUGAGUGUAAAGAGCAUGCUUGCCGUUUUCACUUUUCUUUCCAGGAGGCAGCUCGCCCACAAAACCUAUAACAGCAAUGAGAUAGUCAAAAAUCUAUAUAAGGAACUGAAAUUAAAAUUUUGGUUCUUCAAACUGAAUAUAAGAAAAUAUCAUACCCCACAAAGGCAAAUCAUCUGAAUUUGCAUCCACGUACGCCAUAAACAUAAAAUGCCAAUAAGAAGAAAGACAACAGAUAAGCAAAUAAAGGAUGCUAAACAAAAUUAGUUACACUGAUACAAGAAUAGAGGAAUUACGAUGAUGUUGUAGUAUUAGCUCAUUUUUAAACAAUGUUCAUAGCGCAGCAAGUUGAAUUCCCUUGAUGUACAUAGAGACUUUCUAUUUCAUAUGUAACGCUGACAGUAAGUCUUUUAUGAAAACAAUCAACAUCUUUUCUUUGAUACUUCGUCAUCAGUUAUAUGUAUAAGUAAAUGUGAUACAUACCCAUAAACAACUCAAACCAGUAACUAUUUUCGAUGGCAUCUUUGAAAUGCUUGACCUUAGCUUCAUCAAGUUCCAACUGACAGAUCACGCUUCUGUCAACAUUUUCUGGAAGUAAAACAGAAGUAGGCAAUGUAAGUGUUGUGCAAGCAAAAUUUGAAAGAAAAAAUAGCAAAAGAACUAACAUACUCAAGAACUUUAUGUCUAUCUGGCUGUCGAUGAGCUCAUUUCCACCAAGGACCUCACCAAGACCACCCCAUUUGUGAAUGCUGUUUUCAGUUUUGCGGCAAAACGGGAGGCUAUAAUAGUUAUAUGUUUCUUGUGGAUUAUUAUAUGGGCCAACUUUGUUAACCCAAAGAGUAACCUGCUCAUCNNNNNNNNNNNNNNNNNNNNNNNNNNNNNNNNNNNNNNNNNNNNNNNNNNNNNNNNNNNNNNNNNNNNNNNNNNNNNNNNNNNNNNNNNNNNNNNNNNNNNNNNNNNNNNNNNNNNNNNNNNNNNNNNNNNNNNNNNNNNNNNNNNNNNNNNNNNNNNNNNNNNNNNNNNNNNNNNNNNNNNNNNNNNNNNNNNNNNNNNNNNNNNNNNNNNNNNNNNNNNNNNNNNNNNNNNNNNNNNNNNNNNNNNNNNNNNNNNNNNNNNNNNNNNNNNNNNNNNNNNNNNNNNNNNNNNNNNNNNNNNNNNNNNNNNNNNNNNNNNNNNNNNNNNNNNNNNNNNNNNNNNNNNNNNNNNNNNNNNNNNAAAAAAAAAAAAAAGAGAAGGUUAGGGAAAAAUGUCGACAUACUUGGCGUGUGCCCACAACAUUCUAGAGAAUUUAUUACCAAAUGUCUCCCUUCUCUUAAAAGUCGACUCUAAACCCGUUGCCCAAACUGCAUCAGGAUGUCGACACAUUACUUGUUCCUUUCUCCAACUUAUAUUUUAUUUCUGUAACCAACCUAUCGAGAUUCUCGUACUUACCUCCCACUCAUUCAUGUUGUUGGAUGUUUCCGGGAUAUCCUCUUACGCAAAUCUCUCCACUUUUUUUCAUGAUCCCAACGAGAUCUUCUUCUUAGUCACCCAAUGUUCGUCAAUCUCUGAUUUGAUCCCAUCCUUUGCAAUUUGUGAUAUUGAAUUGAAAAAUAGCUGAUUCUGGGUUUUAUUGUUUAGGUUCUUUGGAACUCGUUCCUGAGCCUCACUCUCAGGUAUUUCAUCGAACACCUUGUCAACAAUCUCCAUUGAAAGAAUGAUUCAUACUUUUUUUUUCCAUCUUAAUUUAAAGUCUUUGCAUCUAAUUUGAAGUUUGAUUUGUGAAGGUCUUCGCAAUCUCACAUUGAAUAUAAGAAUUUUACACGAACUUACCUGUUUAAAGAUUCAUACUUUUGUUCUGUUCUGUUUUAUCUGCUUAAAAGAUUCAUACUUUUCUUCUGUUAUGUUUGGUUCUAUUCUGUUUAAAGAUUCUUACUUUUGUUCUCUUCUGUGCUAAAAAAAAACAGCAACAGAGUCCAUUUUGCAGAUAGUUCCCGACACAAUGGCUGCUUCAUCAUCAACCAUCCUCUGCAAUGCCUCCGAGUCAGACCCUUGUCGUGACGACUCCGCAGCGUUUCUACUGAAACUAGUAGCCAUUGCUUCGAUUCUCUUAUCUGGCGCAGCAGGUGUAUCUGUACCACUCAUAGGCAGAAACCGCCGGUUCCUUCAAACCGACGGCAGCCUCUUUGUAACCGCUAAAGCCUUUGCAGCAGGUGUGAUCCUCGCCACUGGGUUUGUUCACAUGUUAGCCGGUGGCGCGGAGGCUUUGAAGAACCCGUGCUUACCGGAGUUCCCUUGGUCUAAGUUUCCUUUCCCGGGGUUCUUUGCUAUGGUUGCUGCUUUGAUCACUCUGCUUGUGGAUUUCAUGGGGACUCAGUACUAUGAGAGGAAGCAAGAGAGGGAAGCUGAUGAUGAUCAGUUGCAGGGUAUUGUUGUUCCCUUGGUUGGUGAAGGAGGAUGUAACGAUGAGAAAGUGUUUGGAGAAGAAGACAAUGGUGGAAUUCACAUUGUUGGCAUUCAUGCUCAUGCUGCUCACCAUAGACAUAGUCACCCUCAUGGUCAUGGUUCGUGUGAUGGACACAGUAAAAUCGACAUUGGUCAUGGACAUGGACACGUGCAUGGGGGUUUGGAGCUUGGAAGUGGUGCAAGGCAUGUUGUUGUUUCUCAGGUACAAACUCUUUCUUGAUUCUUGUACAGCUUUAAAAUGUCCAAAAAUGAAUCUUUAUAUGAUUUGGUUAGGUUUUGGAGCUUGGGAUCGUGUCACACUCCAUUAUCAUCGGCAUAUCACUUGGAGUAUCUCAGUCUCCAUGCACAAUCCGGCCACUCAUCGCAGCACUAUCCUUCCACCAAUUCUUUGAAGGGUUUGCGCUCGGUGGAUGCAUCUCCCAAGCGCAGUUCAGGAACAAGUCAGCGACCAUAAUGGCAUGCUUUUUCGCCCUCACGACGCCUAUAGGGAUAGGGAUUGGAACUGCAGUGGCGUCGUCUUUCAACUCUCACAGCGUUGGAGCGUUGGUCACGGAAGGUGUAUUGGAUUCGCUGUCGGCAGGGAUACUUGUGUACAUGGCUUUGGUGGAUCUUAUAGCUGCUGAUUUCUUGAGUAAGAGGAUGAGUUGUAACUUUAGGCUUCAGAUUGUUUCUUAUUUGAUGUUGUUCCUUGGAGCUGGACUCAUGUCUUCUCUUGCUAUUUGGGCUUAGAUUGUGAGAUUCUUUCUUUUGUUAUAGCUGCUACAAACAAUGUGUAUAGUUCUAGAAUAAUCAAAUCUCGGAUGAGUUAUUCUUUCUUCUGUUGCCUGGAUGUUUUUGUUCUACAGUUUCCUUAUAAAAUAGAGGAAUUGGAAUUAAGUAUGCGAAAAAAAUAUAUUAAAAAAGUAUCUCCAAUGUUCAAAGACAAUGUUUUGAGAUUAUAAAAAUAAAAAAAAUAAAUAAAAGGGAGAUAAGGUUAGAUUUUCAUCAAAGGUGCACCACUCAUAGUCCUCAAAGAAACUGUACUUCCAGUGUUCAAAGAUAACGUUUAGAUUCUCAUCAAAAGUUCUUCAGAAAUUGCAUUACCAUAAGUUUGAAACAGUUAUCCAUUGAUCUAACCAAAAGAUGGUCCAAACCAAGAACAAUUACAACAGACAACAAUAUAGAUUAUACUAAAGUAACAACAAACUCAACCCAAAAUGUAAAGACAUGAAUGAUUAUGAAACCAUCAAAAGCAGCAUGUUAAUGGAGCUUUUGUCUUAAACAAUGUCAUCUUCUCUGUGGGUCUCAAUGGUAACAUCAGAAGUUGGAUAAGCCGCACAGGUGAGAACAAACCCUUCAGCAAUCUGGUCAUCAUCGAGGAAACUCUGGUCAGACUGGUCAACAAAACCAGACACAACUUUACCUGCACAGCUCGAGCAAGAACCGGCACGGCAAGAGUAAGGCAAGUCGAUCCCGGCUUCCUCAGCAGCGUCGAGGACGUAAA
rnacentral:lncRNA from 1 species